GACGAACGCUGGCGGCGUGCCUAAUACAUGCAAGUAGAACGCACAGUUUAUACCGUAGCUUGCUACACCAUAGACUGUGAGUUGCGAACGGGUGAGUAACGCGUAGGUAACCUGCCUGGUAGCGGGGGAUAACUAUUGGAAACGAUAGCUAAUACCGCAUAAUAUUAAUUAUUGCAUGAUAAUUAAUUGAAAGGUGCAAUUGCACCACUACCAGAUGGACCUGCGUUGUAUUAGCUGGUAGGUGAGGUAACGGCUCACCUAGGCGACGAUACAUAGCCGACUUGAGAGGGUGAUCGGCCACACUGGGACUGAGACACGGCCCAGACUCCUACGGGAGGCAGCAGUAGGGAAUCUUCGGCAAUGGACGAAAGUCUGACCGAGCAACGCCGCGUGAGUGAAGAAGGUUUUCGGAUCGUAAAGCUCUGUUGUAAGAGAAGAACGGGUGUGAGAGUGGAAAGUUCACACUGUGACGGCAUCUUACCAGAAAGGGACGGCUAACUACGUG
rnacentral:rRNA from 1 species